AGAGUUUGAUCCUGGCUCAGGAUGAACGCUGGCGGCGUGGAUAAGGCAUGCAAGUCGAACGGAUCUUGCGCUUGCGCAAGAUUAGUGGCAGACGGGUUAGUAACACGUACUUACGCACCGCUAACACGGGCAUAACUAAUUGAAAGAUUAGCUAAUUCCCGAUAGUCUCUGUUUUUGCAGAGUAAAGGUUUCUUUUUAAGAUUCCGGUUAGUGAGCGGAGUGCGGUCUAUCAGCUAGUUGGUAGGGUAAAGGCCUACCAAGGCUAUGACGGAUAGGCGGUGUGAGAGCAUGAUCGCCAACAAUGGGACUGAAACACGGCCCAUACUCCUACGGGAGGCUGCAGUCGAGAAUAUUGGUCAAUGGGGGAAACCCUGAACCAGCGACGCCGCGUGCUCGAAGAAGUCCUUCGGGGUGUAAAGAGCUUUUAUCAGGGAACAAUCCCGCUUUAGCGGGAUGAGCGUACCUGAUGAAUAAGGGGUGACUAAACUCGUGCCAGCAGUAGCGGUAAUACGAGUGCCCCAAGCGUUAUCCGGAUUUAUUGGGCGUAAAGAGUCUGUAGGCGGUUUAGAAAGUCUUUGGUUAAAGGCCUAGGGCUUAACCUUAGGAAUGCCAAAGAAACUUCUAGACUUAGAGGGCGCUAGAGGCUAGUGGAAUGGUCGGUGUAGGGGUGAAAUCCGUUGAUAUCGACCAGAAUACUAAAAGCGAAGGCAUCUAGCUGGGGCGAACCUGACGCUGAGAGACGAAAGCGUAGGGAGAGAACGGGAUUAGAUACCCCGGUAUUCUACGCUGUAAACGAUGGAUACUAGCUAUUUGAAGUGUCGACCCUUCAAGUGGCGAAGCUAACGCGUUAAGUAUCCCGCCUGGGAAGUACGGCCGCAAGGCUAAAACUCAAAGGAAUAGAC
rnacentral:rRNA from 1 species